rnacentral:rRNA from 1 species
GAUGAACGCUGGCGGCGUGCUUAACACAUGCAAGUCGAACGGAAAGGCCCAAGCUUGCUUGGGUACUCGAGUGGCGAACGGGUGAGUAACACGUGGGUGAUCUGCCCUGCACUUCGGGAUAAGCCUGGGAAACUGGGUCUAAUACCGGAUAGGACGAUGGUUUGGAUGCCAUUGUGGAAAGUUUUUUCGGUGUGGGAUGAGCUCGCGGCCUAUCAGCUUGUUGGUGGGGUAAUGGCCUACCAAGGCGUCGACGGGAAGCCGGCCUGAGAGGGUGUACGGCCACAUUGGGACUGAGAUACGGCCCAGACUCCUACGGGAGGCAGCAGUGGGGAAUAUUGCACAAUGGGCGCAAGCCUGAUGCAGCGACGCCGCGUGGGGGAUGACGGCCUUCGGGUUGUAAACUCCUUUCGCUAGGGACGAAGCGUUUUUGUGACGGUACCUGGAGAAGAAGCACCGGCUAACUACGUG